rnacentral:rRNA from 1 species
AAUCAUAAUGGCCGAAAAUCUAAGGUUUCUUGGGGAAGGUUCGUCCGCCCAAGGUUAGUCGGGAGCUAAGCUCAGGCCGAAAGGCGUAGGCGAUGCACAUACGGUAGAAAUUCCGUAACCACCGAACAUUUAAGCUAGAGGGACGCUUUCUUUAAGUCUAUCCCGGGCGAUGGUUGCCCCGGGCGUAAGGGACCGAAAUUUAGUAGGGAAGUAGAUGGCGAGAGAGACGAGAAAAGCUCUAGUGUAUACUAAGGUGCCCGUACCGCAAACCGACACAGGUAGAUGGGAUGAGUAUUCUAAGGCCAACGGGAGAAGGGUUGUUAAGGAACUCGGCAAAUUGGCCCCGUAACUUCGGGAUAAGGGGCGCCUGCGAGAGCAGGCCGCAGUGAAAAGGCCCAAGCGACUGUUUAGCAAAAACACAGCUCUCUGCUAAAUCGAAAGAUGACGUAUAGGGGGUGACGCCUGCCCGGUGCUGGAAGGUUAAGGGGAGUGCUUAGCGCAAGCGAAGGUGCGAACUUAAGCCCCAGUAAACGGCGGCCGUAACUAUAACGGUCCUAAGGUAGCGAAAUUCCUUGUCAGGUAAGUUCUGACCCGCACGAAUGGCGUAACGAUUUGGGCACUGUCUCAACAGCCCGCCCGGCGAAAUUGUAGUACCGGUGAAGAUGCCGGUUUCCCGCAACUAGACGGAAAGACCCCAUGGAGCUUCACUGUAGCUUGAUAUUGGAUCUCGGUAUUCCAUGUACAGGAUAGGUGGGAGACUUGGAAGUAAGCGCGCCAGCGUUUAUGGAGUCAACCUUGGGAUACCACUCUUGGGAUAUUGGGAUUCUAACCUGCGACCAUGAAUCUGGUCGGGGGACACUGUCAGGUGGGCAGUUUGACUGGGGCGGUCGCCUCCAAAAGAGUAACGGAGGCGCUCAAAGGUUCGUUCAGCACGGAUGGAAAUCGUGCACUGAGUGUAAACGCAUAAACGAGCCUAACUGCGAGAAUGACGGUUCGAGCAGUAACGAAAGUUGGAGUUAGUGAUCCGGCGGUAUGUGAAUGGAAAUGCCGUCGCUCAACGGAUAAAAGCUACCCUGGGGAUAACAGGCUGAUCUCCCCCAAGAGUCCACAUCGACGGGGAGGUUUGGCACCUCGAUGUCGGCUCAUCGCAUCCUGGGGCUGAAUUCGGUCCCAAGGGUUUGGCUGUUCGCCAAUUAAAGCGGUACGCGAGCUGGGUUCAGAACGUCGUGAGACAGUUCGGUCCCUAUCUGUUGCGGGCGCAGGAAUAUUGAGAGGAGCUGUCCUUAGUACGAGAGGACCGGGAUGGACGUACCGCUGGUGCACCAGUUGUUCUGCCAAGGGCAUAGCUGGGUAGCUAAGUACGGACGAGAUAAACGCUGAAGGCAUCUAAGCGUGAAACUCCCCUCGAGAUAAGUGUUCCCAUCCUUCGGGAGUAAGGCCCCUUGUAGACUACAAGGUUGAUAGGUCAGGAGUGGAAGUGCAGUAAUGUAUGGAGCGGACUGAUACUAAUAGGCCGAGGGCUUGACCUU